AUUCUGGGGCGUGGCCAAGUACACAAGAUGCCUCUUCAGAAAACCAUCUUCAUGUUAAAAGGAGGUCUACUGAAAACUAACUACCGCUAGAUGAGUCACCUCAAGGUGCAGUGCCUGAAUUGUGCUCCCAGAUCAAGGCUGAAAUUUAAUUGUAUGCAGAACUACAGCAGGUAGCACGCAACUGUGAGACAGACUGAGCACGGAAGAACCAAGCUGGUCUGGAGGAUGUUGCUGUGAGAAGUAAAUGGCAAAGAGAAGUUAACUGCUCAUCACCUGACUUCGGCAAAAAUCACCACCUUACACGUUACCCACGUGUGAAUGGCAAUGUUUCUCAUUAGAACGCAAGAUCCCUAGAAGCAGCUAAGUUCUUGCUACCUUCUGCAGGAUGAUUACAGUGUACAAUGGUAUCUGAUAACCGGUCCAUAAAUGCCUGUUGAAGGACUAAUUGAAUGAUCAAUACUACAGAAUACAGAUGUGAGUUAAAUGA
ensembl:antisense 4930473D10Rik RIKEN cDNA 4930473D10 gene